rnacentral:lncRNA from 1 species
AUUUGUGCAAUGUACAUACUUGGGGGUAGACCUGUCUGAGGUGAGAUAUUGUGAGAUAUAUUCAGUCAGUAUGCCCACUAGGUAUUUACUAUGUUCUCAGAAAACAUGAAUUGAAUGAACUAUCAGGACUUCGUUUUGUACUGUGAGGUAAACUUGCAGACGGUCCCUAAAGUAGCCUAGGCGAAUAUUCAGCGAAUACCAAAACCUAAAACGAACUUUACCGCGCUUUAAACUUCAUCCAUAAAUAAAGCAGCAGUAGCGCCUGUAGGAGUCAGUAAACCUCUUCCAGCAACUGCGCCGCAUUUCCGCUUCCACUGGACUCAAGAGUCCCUGCAAACAGAGCUGUGAGAGGCUCAGAAGCACGAGAGACCUCGGUGUAUGUCACAAACACAUGCAUGCCUUAAAUAAGUGACGUCGAAAGUUUGUAGCAGCGCUCAGUCGGGAUGCAGAAUUAAAGUAAACGUGGAGGAAAGAGUUUGUUUUGGUCUUGGAGUGUUUGGCAGAAGCUCCCAGCAUUAGACACCAGUACAGGAGCAGUUGGUUGAAUUGAGACGUGUGAAUAAGAGGGUGAAGAACUCUGUACGUUUACUGAAGACUCCUUUGACAGGUUUAAUUGUCACUGCGCUGGUGAACUGCGUGAAAGAUGUCUUGUUCACACAUCAAGGAUUGUUUUGGGGAAGGAACCUGUUUUGAGUAAUCUUCCUGAAAUCCCAGGAGAUGGUUUUAUUGGUCAGAAAUUGCUUUUUAAAAGCUCAGGAGACUUCAUGAUGAUUCUCCAGUGAAAAAAUAAAACAUUAUUAAACUAUUGUGCAUCGUUUUUUUUUUUU